rnacentral:misc_RNA from 1 species
UAAUACAUGAAUCAAUAUGUAUCAGAACAACUCUGACGAAGUUGUCUAUGAAGAGAAAGAGUUAAUGAUCAUCACUGAUCAUUUAUGGGCGGAAACAUCUGAACGCAUAAUGUAUUAUUUCAUCACAACUUUCAUAAUAUUUCUUUAGAUAGAUACAGAAAACAAGUUGCGGAAUGUAAGGUUUUCAGAAUGAUCGAAGAACCGUUGAACUAUUGAUUAUGGUCAAUGAUCUAUAACUUUCUAAUGACCUUUUUACAAACGAAUGGACUCAUUCUCACACACGAUGCAUGAGUAUCGGAUGUAUGUGUAACUAUUAGUAUCAGAGGGAUUAAUCACUCAUUAGCAAGGGAAAACCACAGUGCGUAAAUAUACUGAUGACGUUGGGCUAUAAAUACCGACAAGUGACUGUUGACUAACCCACUGUGAGGUUAGUCCCUCAUAACAGUCACACAUCUCGGGCGGCGUGCAACGUGUGGAGGUACAGUUAACGACGAGUUAACUCCCUUAGGUGCACAUCGGAGGAUGUCAGCUGACUCUGUCAAAUCUGGUUACGGUAAAAGACCCCGUACUUCAUCUCACCGGAAGCAUGGGAAGUGUCGGUCAUGUCGGCAGAAAGACGUGUGUCUUGUGUUUCUACCCUGUGGUCACGUGGUGUGUUGUGAUGACUGCGGCGCGUCCCUCAACACGUGUGUGGUGUGUGACCGACCCAUCAGGGGCAGUAUCAGAACCUAUUGAUGUCACAGACCCCCAUACACAGUGAAAGCUCUGUGAUGCCACCAGGAACUGCAGCAGAACUUUGUAUGAGUUAGUCUCUCUUUGUGUCAUUAAAUGAAGUCUUUGAUAGACAUUUAAAAGUUGCAAGAACAUGCCCACAUAACAUUUUAUAAUGGAUAAUAUUGUACACUUUAUUCUUUGUUCCGAAAUGUUAUGUAUUUAUAACAAAAUUAUAUAAUUCAAUAAAUAUGUAAAUUUCGUCAUUUCACUAUUAUUGUUUCAGAGACAUAUAUUUAGGUUUAUAGCGAGUUUCUUGCCGCGCGUUUGCUCUUCUUUAAAUACGGAGGAGCACUAUCCAGUGUAUCACGAUUGUAUGCUUCAAUAAUUCAUACAUUCAAAUCAACUGGGGUUCAAGUGUUAUAAGCUUUGUCAGAUUUGGUACUUAAUUCUAAUGAAAUACCAAAUUAUAACUCCAGCAUUAAAUAUAUUGUUUUUUUAUAAGUGAAGUCUUAUUAAGCCUUUUUCAAUAACACCCAUGUUUUCUGUAUUGUAACAGGAACCAUGGCAGAUAACAUGUACUAUCUGACAUUCUUGGAAUUUGAUGUAUGUAUUUGACAUAUAACAUUACUUUACAACAAUCGCAUCUGCAGUUCUCUCCUGCAUUCAUGCCACCUGUGAGGCAGUAUACGCUCACCUGGUAUCAUCACUAUUUCACGGUGAUUUGCGUGGAUCGAGGCUCAUGAUGUCAAUCACUGGAUUGUCUGGUCCAGACUCGAUUAUUUUACAGACCGCCGUCAUACAGCUGGAAUAUUGCGGCGUGCGUUACACAACACACCAACCAAAAAAUCAUAAACCCAUGCUCAUAAUAUACUCGGAGUCGUUCACUCUAUCCUGCUUUCGGCAUCGAUAUCUUACAAAAUUAAAUAUGGAAAGGAUUUUGUCGAUUUUAUUUACUGUUCACCAGGUAAUUACGACUUUGGACAUACCACCAGAUAUCACAUGUCACUGAUAAAAAGGUGAGUUUGAGUCAUGAUCAAAUACCCCAAGCAAUCCAUCUGUUUGUGACAAGCACAUCCAUACCAGCACUAUGCAUGUAUGUACGUCUUCUUUAUCAUGGAACAUAUUUCAGCUGUUUCAUCUUUUACAGUCUUCUUUUUACAAACAAAUUUCGCAUCUAACAACCUUCCCUAGAAUUGUGUUUCUUUCCACCUUUUUAAAUCAUUGCUAAAGAUGACCACACCUUGUUUGGAUCAAAGAUGCGAAUCAAAUAUGCGAAGAGGAUAAGGAAAAAUGUGUUGAUAAAUGUCAGGGCAAUCCAAAUUGAUCAUACACUGAUACAUAACGUAUGCCGUAUAUUUAGCCAUACCCACUGUGAGAUCCACGUCAUGUACGUACUUAUCACUGGUGCUGAUCGAUGUCAGAGUCGUAUAUAGAACACUCAGCCAAGAUUACUAGGGAGAGUGUGUACUCUCCAUAUAAAGGACAGUUCACACAGGCCUCUACCGGAGUUACAGAAUUAUACCACGACAACAGACAGCUCACACCUGACGUUCAGAGCCGUGCCGAUACAUAAUAUAAUAAUAAUAAUAUAGUUUAUUACAGUGUCAUGUGUUACAAAGCAAUACAACAUUUAGCACAUACUUAAAAUACAAACACCAGGCCUCAGUGGGCCGAAAUGACACUUUAAGGUAUUACAAAUAUUAAAAUACAAUUAGAUAUAAAAAGUAACCAUGCACAUUCUUAAUAUCUACAUAAACACAUAUUCACUAACACAAUCACAUAAUGCCUUCAUGCAUACACACAUAUAUACAUACGCACUCACGCACGCACGCACGCACGCACGCACGCACGCACGCACACAAUCAAUCAUUCUAAUAUUCUCCCGCACAUACUAAACAGACACGCAAACACAUUCAGAUAUCUCCCACCCCGUCACUCGAGACAUACACGCACGCACACAUACACACACACACACACACUCAACCUCACUCACAAAUACACCCAUACCCAAAUUCAUGCAUCUACACACACUCCAUAUCCUUUCUUCUGACCGUACCAACAUUCAUAUCCCCUCCCCACACACACCCAUAACCCAUAACCUCACACACUCAAUUACACUUUUCAUAUAAAAUUCAUAUUCAAUAGUUAAGUUAUUGUACACCUUGCAGCCUUUUGUGAUACAUUUUCUGAACACAUCUCGCCAAUUCUAGCUGGAUACGUUCAGUGUUCAUCAACCACUUAUAUUUAUCUAACGUGGACAGUUCACAGAAACUACUGAACUGAUUAUUGCAUGUAUCAAAUAAACAUUUCCUUAAAACAUUGUAGAAUUUGCACACCACAACAAAGUGAACUUCAUCUUCGAUUAACUGUUCCUGACAUAGUUGACAAAGUCUAUUUACCAAGGGAGUCACAGGCUUGGUAUUCCUGCCACUUUCUAUAGCCAGGGGAAUGUUUCCACAAUGUAAUGAGGCUAAUAUACUUCUUUGUUGUCUGGGUAGAGACAUUUUCACAUAGUGAGAAGUUUGGAUAGUUUCUUUAUAUUUCCUAUAUGUUCGUAAUUUAUUUCCAUUGCAAUUACCUUUGUCAUUAAAUAUAUCCGAGAACCACUUUUGUAUGUCUCUUGUAUCUAACACUUCAAGGCAUGCUUUGAGAAAUGAGGCACGUUUAGCCUUGACACAAAAAUCUAAAACGUCCAUAUUUCCAUGAAUAUCUAUUUUUUUCACAAAUUCACACACCCUAUAAUCCCAGGAGGAUUUUCUUUUAAAUGACCAUUUAUGGACUAUGGCACACACAGAUGUUUCACAGGAGGUGAUGAUUUUAUGGAAACUUCGAAGAACUUCAAUUUUAAUUUUAGUAUUUUGGCUUCUCCACCCCAUCUCUCCUCUGACGGCAACAUUAGAGGCAUUCUUUCUCACUCCCAAGAAGAAUCUGGAGGCUUUAUUCUGAAUAUAACUUAUUUCUUUGUACAUAUUUAUGCCCCACACACUUGCACUAUAGUUAAGAACUGGUUGCACAUAACUAUCAAAUAAUUUUGUGAACACUGCAUGGCUUAAACCUCCCGAAUGGUUGAGCUUACUGAAACUAACUCCAAGUGCCCUGUUUGCCGCAUACAGCGUCGCUUUAGCUGGUACAAGGGAUGAGGUUAGACUUACAUUUAGUCUCUGAAAUCUUAUAUUACACAAUAUCCUUCUUGCCUCUAAAAACAAUUCCCUAUGUGGAAUAGAACUAGCUUGCGCUGGCUAGACUUGCUUUUGUAUGCGUUUCUAGAUUAUUAUUUUUUCAUAAAUGAAAUAUAUUCCAGUCAUGGUGCAGGACUAGGAUGAAGUGUGCAAUUACAGUAAUAACUUCUUGAAACAUGUUUAAUGCGGAUGUGUGUAUUUUAAACUUAUUUUAAUUCUAACAGGGUAUUAUAUGUGAUGGAUGAAUACAUACUGAGCCUCGGAUUAUGAUUUGAAUUCAAAACUGAUUUGAACUGACGAACAGAAUAUUAUCACGGCAAUAGGCAUAUUUGACACACAGAAACAUAUACGAUCAAUGGAGUGAGUUCGUUGAGGUGGGGUGGGAGCUAAUUAUAAAUGACGGCAUGUCUGCUUAAUGUGGGAGGAAAACCCAACGUGAUGCAGGUCUUAGGUCUUUGCCAUUUUAGUGAAAACCACAUUGAAAUAGCAAUGCGAGUCCCACGCGAAUACAAUAUUUGAAGCAACGAUCAUAUAGUUCUGGCACGUCCGUGGUCCCUCUAUUCAGUGUAAACAUGUUGAAAAUUGAUCUAAGCUUAAAUGUUCAUACUUUUGUCCUUCUGGUCCAGCUAACAUGACUCCGCUUGUUUCAUUAUUUCUUUUAGAGAAAUGAGAAAGAUGAGGAAGUUCCUUUUAGAUCACGAUAUAGACAAAAUCUCACAAGCAUGUUCUUGGGACGUCCAUGAGAUGAAGGACCUCCUUUCAGCCAGUCCAGAGGCUGAAGGUGGCCUUGGCAUCCAGGAGCUGGUGAACCUGUCUGACAGGUUUCCAGGAAAGUACCCAGAGAGGCCUGACCUCUUCUUCCAGGACAGAUUGAAGACACUGAUGAGUGUUGAUGAUGCCGUUGGAGCCAUGUCCCCCGAGAAACUCACCCAGGUUGCCCGAGCCGGGUUAUAUCGAUGGGGUAUAUACGAUGGCAUUACAACCACCAUGAUUCAGUUUGUACCGUAUCAGAUGGACGAAGUUCGAAUGAGUGAGUGAGUGAGUGAUUUUGGUUUAACGCCGCUUUUAACAGUAUUCCAGUUAUAUCGCGGCGUGUCGGCUUAAUGUGGGAGGAAAGCCCGAAGUGAUGCAGGUC